CAAACCACGAAAGCCCAACCAAGCUAGUUCAAGGAGAAGGGCAUCUAGCAGCUCUGGUAAUGGAAAAGGCCAGACGUGACAGCACUGGCUUCAGACACAGCUGAAUCCAGGGACUAAAGCAUAUCCUUUGACCUGUUAGUGCUCUCCCUCUGUCUCUGUCUCUUCUGCACACAGCUUCUUCCACGUGGCAGGGGCAGGGUGAGGCCACAGACAGCUCCCGCUCACAUCAUCCCAGCUAAUGGCUUCACAGGAAAGAGUGAAGCAAAAUCCCAGAGAAGUCUGAUUGUCCCAGCCUGGAUCUCAUGGCUGUGGGCAGUGGAAAAGCUGAGGGAACUGGAGAACAGCUGCUGUCCUCUCCCUGCGCACAUCUGUCUGCCUCAUGCCAAAGGGAGACAAUGGCUAAAGGGGGCCUGUAUUGAUCAGGCCCUGCAGAGAAACAGAACGCACAGGAUGUGUAUGCAUGUAUAGGUAGGUAGGGAGACAGAGAGUGGGGAGACAGAGAUUUGAGAAAUUGGCUCAUGUGAUUACAGAGGCUGGCAAGUCCAAAAUUUGCAGGGUGGGUGAUAUGGUUUGGCUGUGUCCCCACCCAAAUCUCAUCUUGAAUUGUAGCUCCCAUAAUUCCCACGUGUCAUGGGAGGGACCCCAUGGGAGGUAAUUGAAUCAUGGGGCUGGGUCUUUCCCAUGCUGUUCUCACGAUAGUGAAUAAGUCUCAGGACAUCUGGUGGUUUUAUAAAAGGGAGUUCCCUGCACAAGCUCCCUUUUGCCUGCUGCCAUGGAAGACGUGCCUUUGCUCCUUUGCCUUCCACCGUGAUUGUGAGGCCUCCCCAGCCUCGUGGAGCUGUCAGUCCAUUAAACCUCUUUUUCUUUAUAAA